UACGUAGGGUGCGAGCGUUGUCCGGAAUUAUUGGGCGUAAAGAGCUUGUAGGCGGUUUGUCGCGUCUGCUGUGAAAAUCCGGGGCUCAACCCCGGACUUGCAGUGGGUACGGGCAGACUGGAGUGUGGUAGGGGAGAUCGGAAUUCCUGGUGUAGCGGUGAAAUGCGCAGAUAUCAGGAGGAACACCGGUGGCGAAGGCGGAUCUCUGGGCCAUUACUGACGCUGAGGAGCGAAAGCGUGGGGAGCGAACAGG
rnacentral:rRNA from 1 species